UCGAGCGAACGGACGAGAAGCUUGCUCCUCUGAUGUUAGCGGCGGACGGGUGAGUAACACGUGGAUAACCUACCUAUAAGACUGGGAUAACUUCGGGAAACCGGAGCUAAUACCGGAUAAUAUUUUGAACCGCAUGGUUCAAAAGUGAAAGACGGUCUUGCUGUCACUUAUAGAUGGAUCCGCGCUGCAUUAGCUAGUUGGUAAGGUAACGGCUUACCAAGGCAACGAUGCAUAGCCGACCUGAGAGGGUGAUCGGCCACACUGGAACUGAGACACGGUCCAGACUCCUACGGGAGGCAGCAGUAGGGAAUCUUCCGCAAUGGGCGAAAGCCUGACGGAGCAACGCCGCGUGAGUGAUGAAGGUCUUCGGAUCGUAAAACUCUGUUAUUAGGGAAGAACAUAUGUGUAAGUAACUGUGCACAUCUUGACGGUACCUAAUCAGAAAGCCACGGCUAACUACGUGCCAGCAGCCGCGGUAAUACGUAGGUGGCAAGCGUUAUCCGGAAUUAUUGGGCGUAAAGCGCGCGUAGGCGGUUUUUUAAGUCUGAUGUGAAAGCCCACGGCUCAACCGUGGAGGGUCAUUGGAAACUGGAAAACUUGAGUGCAGAAGAGGAAAGUGGAAUUCCAUGUGUAGCGGUGAAAUGCGCAGAGAUAUGGAGGAACACCAGUGGCGAAGGCGACUUUCUGGUCUGUAACUGA
rnacentral:rRNA from 1 species